CUACGGGAGGCUGCAGUGGGGAAUAUUGCACAAUGGGCGCAAGCCUGAUGCAGCCAUGCCGCGUGUAUGAAGAAGGCCUUCGGGUUGUAAAGUACUUUCAGCGGGGAGGAAGGGAGUAAAGUUAAUACCUUUGCUCAUUGACGUUACCCGCAGAAGAAGCACCGGCUAACUCCGUGCGCAGCAGCCGCGGUAAUACGGAGGGUGCAAGCGUUAAUCGGAAUUACUGGGCGUAAAGCGCACGCAGGCGGUUUGUUAAGUCAGAUGUGAAAUCCCCGGGCUCAACCUGGGAACUGCAUCUGAUACUGGCAAGCUUGAGUCUCGUAGAGGGGGGUAGAAUUCCAGGUGUAGCGGUGAAAUGCGUAGAGAUCUGGAGGAAUACCGGUGGCGAAGGCGGCCCCCUGGACGAAGACUGACGCUCAGGUGCGAAAGCGUGGAGAGCAAACAGGAUUAGAUACCCCCGUAGUC
rnacentral:rRNA from 1 species